rnacentral:rRNA from 1 species
GCUGGCGGCAUGCCUAACACAUGCAAGUCGAACGCGAAAGUCCCUUCGGGGGCGAGUAGAGUGGCGGACGGGUGAGUAACGCGUAGGAAUCUGCCUGGUAGUGGGGGACAACUCGGGGAAACUCGAGCUAAUACCGCAUACGCCCUACGGGGGAAAGCGGGGGAUCUUUCGGGACCUCGCGCUAUCAGAUGAGCCUGCGUCGGAUUAGCUUGUUGGUAGGGUAAUGGCCUACCAAGGCAACGAUCCGUAGCUGGUCUGAGAGGACGAUCAGCCACACUGGGACUGAGACACGGCCCAGACUCCUACGGGAGGCAGCAGUGGGGAAUAUUGCACAAUGGGCGAAAGCCUGAUGCAGCAAUGCCGCGUGUGUGAAGAAGGCCUGCGGGUUGUAAAGCACUUUCAGGAGGGAAGAAAAGCUUGGGGCUAAUACCCCCGGGUCUUGACGUUACCUCCAGAAGAAGCACCGGCUAACUCCGUGCCAGCAGCCGCGGUAAUACGGAGGGUCAA